AUUGAACGCUGGCGGCAUGCCUUACACAUGCAAGUCGAACGGCAGCACGGGGGCAACCCUGGUGGCGAGUGGCGAACGGGUGAGUAAUACAUCGGAACGUGCCCAGUAGUGGGGGAUAGCCCGGCGAAAGCCGGAUUAAUACCGCAUACGACCUACGGGUGAAAGCGGGGGAUCGCAAGACCUCGCGCUAUCGGAGCGGCCGAUGUCAGAUUAGGUUGUUGGUGGGGUAAAAGCCUACCAAGCCGACGAUCUGUAGCUGGUCUGAGAGGACGACCAGCCACACUGGGACUGAGACACGGCCCAGACUCCUACGGGAGGGCAGCAGUGGGGAAUUUUUGGACAAUGGGCGCAAGCCUGAUCCAGCCAUGCCGCGUGCGGGAAGAAGGCCUCGGU
rnacentral:rRNA from 1 species